UCCCCUACCCAGGACCGGGCUUGGCUGGCAGCCUUCAGGCGGGGGGGAGCACAGGGUCCAGGAGACAGACUCUGUGCCGAGCACGCCUGGGCGGGGGUCCCCAGGGCGAGCUGUCCACAGAGCAGUUGCUGUUCCUGGGGCUGACGGUGGAGUGGGCAGAGGGAGGGUCUGCAGCCUGGCAUGGUAGGGGUUGCUGUCGGGUAGGACUGAGAACGGAGUAGCGGGGGCUGGAUGGGCCUCCCUGCAUGGCUUCUGCCCACCUCCCGGUCACCCAAGUGCAUGCUCAGCCUGUCCUCCAGGAGGAGAGGGAGUCAUAGACCUCGAAGUCUGAAGAGGACCAGGCUCCCACCAAACUGUCUGAGCCCAAAGGAGUCCUGGACACAUGCCUUGCGGUCCCCAGUGCAGAGCGGGCCAGCCCAGGGCGAGGGAUGCUGUCUUUAUAAGCCACAGGCUGCCCUGGGUUUCGAUCUCGCUCUUUUCCUUCUCCUUGGAGACACUCGGGCUAUAAACUUUCAAGAGGAAUUUCAGCUCUGGGGGUUUGUGUAGGAGGAACUGUGGUCUGUGUGUUUUCUGGCCCCAGGAGUGGUCCAGGGUGAGUCCUGCAGCUGCCUCCCGAGGCCAUCUGGAGGCGAUCUCUGCCUGCUCUGGCCCCAGCUCUAAGUGGUGGGUCACAGUGCUUACAGUGGGGACAGUGCAUUUAGGUUUAUGGAGCAAAAAGGAAGUGGAAGGGUUUUUGGUGGCUACACUGAUUUCCAGCAUGUUCUCCCAGGCACUGGGGGCUGCCUGUGGGCUCAGGCGCAGGAGGCAGGGAGACCCUACCUGAGCCUGCUCAGGACACUCCUUGCUUGGGAAAUCUGGGUGGGAGCUGGUGACCAGGGUCCUGGCUGAGGGCACGCUGGCCAGGACUCUGGGGAAAGUUCUAGAAGAAGGCAAGAGCAGCCGACACCAUGCCAUGCCCCAAGGAUGGGCUCAGAAAGGUUGGCCAGGGGCCAGAAGAGGACCUGUCCCAAUUCACCCUUCUAGGAGAGGACCCCAGGGAGACACUGGGACCAGUCUAAGAGUGAAAUUCCUUACAGGUUUGCAUGGGGAGCAGAGGAGUGGGGCCCUCCUCCGCCUCAAGACCUCGGUCUUAGGUUCCACGUUGGGAGCUACGAGGCUGUUAUUUAAGGGCUGUGUGUUUGUUUUAGAAUCAAGUUGUGUUUUAUUAAGGCUGAAAGUCGGCGCCUUUUACAAAUGGAUCCUCCUGCCUCCUGGACCAAAAGCACUGACCCAUUCCUGGUGGAACCAACGCAGAGGGGCUGAGUGGCCAGGCAGGUGGGGGGUGGACAGAGGCCUUACACAGAGGGCAGGGCCUACAGAGGUGGGACCCUCCCAUCUCCAGCAUCCCUCCAGCCUCCCUCCAGCCCCUCUCUCCUGUCUGUCCACUGAAGGACAGCAGACUGCCCCAGACUGCCUUCCUGUCUUUGCUAAGAUGUGGCGGGCUGGCUCUCUGUCAAGGAGGUGACCUUGGGUGUGGCCUUCCUUUCUUCACCUUCCUCUAGAGCCGCACAAGGGUGCAGAGCAGUCAAGAACUGGCUCCGCUCUAGGCUGUGAGGAGGUGGCUCCUUGGCUUGGCAUCCUGGGGCCUGCAGAUCUUAGGACGAGGUCUGGAGAUGACUCAAGGGUGGUCAGUAAGGACAGGAGGCCACCUCAAAGAGUCUCUAGGGAGCAGGGAGACACAGGUAGCACAGUUAGGUAAACAGUCGGCCUCUCUGGCGCUGCCCAGCCCAAUCUGGAGGAGGCUCUUCUCCUAUGGGGAGAAAUGGAUGCACACUAUUGAUACAGCAGCUAAAAAUAACCCGUGUUCCAAACAAAGUGUUUUUAGUAUUUAGAAAUGAAAACGUGUAGACAAAGCAUGGAUGGAGACUGCAUGAGUCACAAACUGCUGACUCUGAAGCAAUAGAAAUCCAGAGAGAGUUCCUUCUCCCUCUGCUUGUCGCUCCCCCCCCCCCCGAUUUGGAAUAGCUUAUAAAGAGUGUCCCUCACAAGCAGGACCCCAGACUCCCCUGGGAGUUACGGUCCUGCGCAGCAGGGGCUGAGAUCGCUCGGCUCUCACUACCGUUCGCGGAGCUGGCCUCCUCAUGAGGCCCCUUCAUUUCUGCUCCUGGUGCGAUUGCUCCCAGGCCUCGGCAGGAGCAGGGACUUCCAGGCCCCGUUAACCCGGGCUCUUCCCUCCCUGGGCUCUGCCCCGCUGGACCUCAACUCUGCUGAACUCUUCAGCCCAGCAGGGCCUGUCACUGAGCCCUGGCCCCAGGAGCUACGCCUGGGGGGGGCACACCUUGGGGCGUGGCAGCAGGGUGCAGCAGUGGUGUCCCCGUCCACACUGUAUCUCAGGCUGGCCUGCUGGCCCCUGGGAUCAGACCCCCACCCCACAACAGUGCUCAGCCCAGCCUGCGAUUUUGCCUUCUGCAGUUUCCAGCGUCCAAUGUCACCUGUGGUCUAAAAACAUCACCGUAGCACAAUACGGAACAAGCUUCAGGCUGAUCACACACGCGGGUCCAGGACGGCUGCCUCGUCCCUGUUCCAUCUCUCAUUGUGCUGACCUCUCAGGUCCAGUUGAUUGGGCCGUCCACGCACAGGGAGGGCAGAUCUUCUGUCCCCAUGCACAGACUCCCCUGCCGGCCCCUCCCAGGCUCCCUCAGACGCACCUAGAGAUGAUGCUUCUGGAGCCUCCGGCUUCUCUCCACUCAGCCAGGCUGAACGUGAAGCCACCGUCACACACUCUGUGCAGGAAGAGGCUAUGUGGGGUUCCGUGCCCGUGAGGUUUGGGGCACCCACGGGCCCUGGCACACACCUCUGUGCACAGGGACUACUGGGUUCCUCUCUGAGCACUUCCCUGGCAGCUCCCGUUGCCAUUCCUGCACCACACGGUGAGGGGGUCCCACAGCCCCCAGCCCCACAUCCGCAGCCUUGGCCCCAGCAGGGCUCAGUGACCUGGAGGCCAGGUCACCGCCCCUCCCCAGCAGGACUGUUCCGCUCCAGGAACCUUCUCAUUCACAAGGAAAGCUGCACGGGGCUGAGGCUCCCUGGGCUCCCUGCCCUGCCUUUGUCAUUGUCCCUGCCCAUCAGAGUGCAGGAGGGCCUCCCAGUAUAGGACCUGUGGGUGCCUGGCCACUGUCCCCCCUCUCUUCACAGCCCUGCUCCAUCAAGGGUGUGUGUCCCUUCUGCUCUCUCCUCCAACGUCCUUUGCUUCCCCAGCACAAUCAUUCUUCUGCCGUCACCUGCUUUUUGAAACCUGCAUCAUGUUCUUAAAGCUUUUGGAAAAAUC